rnacentral:rRNA from 1 species
AACGAACGCUGGCGGCGUGCUUAACACAUGCAAGUCGAGCGAUGAAGCUUCUUCGGAAGUGGAUUAGCGGCGGACGGGUGAGUAACACGUGGGCAACCUGCCUCAUAGAGAGGAAUAGCCUUUCGAAAGGAAGAUUAAUACCGCAUAGGUAGUACUUUCGCAUGAUAGUACUAUUAAAGGAGCAAUCCGCUAUGAGAUGGGCCCGCGUCGCAUUAGCUAGUUGGUGAGGUAACGGCUCACCAAGGCGACGAUGCGUAGCCGACCUGAGAGGGUGAUCGGCCACAGUGGGACUGAGACACGGCCCAGACUCCUACGGGAGGCAGCAGUGGGGAAUAUUGCACAAUGGGGGAAACCCUGAUGCAGCAACGCCGCGUGAGUGAUGACGGUCUUCGGAUUGUAAAGCUCUGUCUUUAGGGACGAUAAUGACGGUACCUAAGGAGGAAGCCACGGCUAACUACGUGCCAGCCGCCGCUGUAACAC